CAGUUAGAAGGAAGCAUGAUGUCUAGAGCUCAAGAAGCUAUCUUGGAUCAAGGGAUGAGGAUCACACCUAAAGAAGAAGAGGCAGUGAUAGCCCUGAAAGGUACAGCUGAAGACUUCUCUAGGUAAUAAACUUCUUUCUUGCUUAAGCCACUACAUUGAGUUUCUCUGUGAUAUGCGGAUGAACUUAAUCCAGACUCACAUGAUGGAAAAAGAUUAAUGGAAUGACUCCAUGUCAGAGCUCUGGUCGGAAGAAUAUUUGAAGAUUGCAGACAAAGAGAUGUAGGGAUAAGACGAAGGAGAGCCUAGAAAGUUCGGUGAAUGGCCAGUGCCACCAAAUGAAGCCAAGCCAAGAAGCAAGGCGUCACGACUCUAUCAUCCCUCAGUAUGGUGAAGUGACAACUGCCUUUGAAAGAAGAGUUUAUUGCUUACAUUUCCCAAGAGAAGGGGUCUUGACACAGCAUGCAGGGCCGCGUCGGGAAGCACCGAAGUCGCUGGUCAGGAGGCAGAAGGAGAGAAGGAGAAAGUAUGGCCAGAGACUUUAUUGUGGUUUCUGGGGGGAAGGAAUGGGAGAGGCAGGGUUGGCGAGUUUGAACAAGCGUGGAAUUGAAUCAUUUGAAUAACCUGUAGGGCUAUGGGCUGUUGGGAGUGGUCUCCAGUUGUCCAGUAUCUGAUUUUGAGGGCAAGGAAACUGGUCUGGUGUGUGAGUUAAACAAAGGAGGUGGCCAGGGACAGGGUCUUCGGAUGGGUUAGUGUGCAUAUGAAAGUUAAGCUCAUAGAAAAGUUGUUUGCUAUCUCUGGGAAGCAGCUCUUCCUGGAGGGGCAGUCUCUCCCAAGCCAGCAAGGGCUGCCAGAGAUGUCAAAGCAAAUAAAGAUCAUGAUUAAUACAAAAGGCAACUAUUAGGCAAGUUGUUCUUUGGUGGAGUUAACCCAAAACAAAUUAUCAUUGUAGAACUGCUCUUUGAUAUUCAUUAAGUCUUAUGGAAAAAAAAAAAAAAAAAGAGGAAAUCUAUACAAUCUCUGGAUUUUAUAUGUGGUUCUGUCCCAAACAUUGAUCAAUGCUGGUAGAAUAUAUUACUGAACUAAUCACCUAAAUCACAGAAGUAUAAUUACGUUCAGGAGGUUUUACAUUAUUGUAAGGAUAGAUGGAUGCCUCCUCCUCCCCAAUUUAGAAUGUAUAUAUGGAUCGAGAGGCAGACAUUGGAAUGAGGCUGCCACCAACCAGGGAAUGCCUGGAACCACCAGGGCUAUGAAAGGCAAAGAAGGAUCCUCUCCCUACAGCCUUCAGACGGAGCAUGGUCCUGUUGACACCUUGAUUUUGGACUUCUAGCCUCCGGAACU